CUGGGUGACGCUGCAGUACGCAGACCUGAGGGAGAGAGCAGAGGAGGAGGAGGGAAAGAGCGGUGAUUAAUUAACAGGAAAAGUUAAUAUUAUAGUAAAAAAAACAUAAUUUACCUGGUCGGGAACUGACGGGGGUUUUAUGAAAACUAAGUUACAUCGGUUUUGGUCAGGUUUUUUGUUCGGUGAACGGCCAUGUUUGGCGUGCACAUUCACAGACGGGAUUCAAGAUGGCGAGCCAGACCUAGACCUUCAAUUCAUCUUCUCCAUUGCAUCAGGGAGGGACUCUCCCGCGUGAGGUCCAGGCUUGUGGCUUUUGGCAUUUGGGGCUUUAGAGAAGAAGAGGCCCAGGCCAAAGAGGGUGAAGGGCAACACGAGGUGACCAAAGGACGCAAUGUGGGGUCACGCUGGGGCUCUUCCUUCUCUGUGUGCUGCGUGCCCCAGUGCUCUGGAGGCCAGAGCCUGAUUACUGCUCUGGGAUCCAGGCGCAGAGCGUUUUCAUUAGGGAGAGGGCCAAGAUCAUCCAGGAAGGUUCCGGCCCAUUAAUACAUUUGAAACAGCGAAUGAAAGGAGGGGGCUGUUGAGAGGGUUUUUGGGGGGUGUAUGGAGUUAUUUUGAAAGAGGAGAACUCUGUGGAACAACGAUGAGAGCUUUGGUGAAUAAAUACCCUGUGGAUCAUCUUAACCCCACAGUACUCUUCCCCCCCACCCCUCCGCUCUUGUCUCUAAGAUCUGCGGCCAAUUUUCCUGUAAUUUGGAAUAAAUUGUUUGUGAAAUCCAUGUCGAUGCUUCCAC